GCUCAGCUUCAUUCGAGUCCUUGUUACCCACUGAACAAAAGAAGAUACCUCUUAACAAUCCCUAGAUGAUCCCUUAACACACCACCAAUACCUGCAGGCCCUGGUUUUCCCUUGGAAGAACCAUCAACAUUCCAUUUUAGUGUUUGAUCAUCAGGGGGGUUCCAUAAAUAACAAUGGAGCUCGAUUGCUUUUCCCAUUCGUCCAAUGCACAAGACCUUAAUAUGAUAGCCAUAAAUCUGAUGCAGAG
rnacentral:lncRNA from 1 species